CCUACGGGGGGCAGCAGUCGAGAAUCAUUCACAAUGGGGGAAACCCUGAUGGUGCGACGCCGCGUGGGGGAAUGAAGGUCUUCGGAUUGUAAACCCCUGUCAUGUGGGAGCAAAUUAAAAAGAUAGUACCACAAGAGGAAGAGACGGCUAACUCUGUGCCAGCAGCCGCGGUAAUACAGAGGUCUCAAGCGUUGUUCGGAAUCACUGGGCGUAACGCGUGCGUAGGCUGUUUCGUAAGUCGUGUGUGAAAGGCGCGGGCUCAACCCGCGGACGGCACAUGAUACUGCGAGACUAGAGUAAUGGAGGGGGAACCGGAAUUCUCGGUGUAGCAGUGAAAUGCGUAGAUAUCGAGAGGAACACUCGUGGCGAAGGCGGGUUCCUGGACAUUAACUGACGCUGAGGCACGAAGGCCAGGGGAGCGAAAGGGAUUAGAUACCCCGGUAGUC
rnacentral:rRNA from 1 species